rnacentral:tRNA from 3 species
GGGCUAUAGCUCAGUUGGUAGAGCACCUCGUUUACACCGAGAAAGUCUA